rnacentral:rRNA from 1 species
CAGCCACCGCGGUAAUACAGAGGGUGCAAGCGUUAAUCGGAAUUACUGGGCGUAAAGCGCGCGUAGGUGGUUUGUUAAGUUGGAUGUGAAAUCCCCGGGCUCAACCUGGGAACUGCAUCCAAAACUGGCAAGCUAGAGUAUGGUAGAGGGUGGUGGAAUUUCCUGUGUAGCGGUGAAAUGCGUAGAUAUAGGAAGGAACACCAGUGGCGAAGGCGACCACCUGGACUGAUACUGACACUGAGGUGCGAAAGCGUGGGGAGCAAACAGGAUUAGAUACCCGGGUAGUCCCUGUCUCUUAUAC